rnacentral:rRNA from 1 species
AGCGCAGGCGGUCUUUUAAGUCUGAUGUGAAAGCCUUCGGCUUAACCGGAGAAGUGCAUCGGAAACUGGGAGACUUGAGUGCAGAAGAGGAUAGUGGAACUCCAUGUGUAGCGGUGAAAUGCGUAGAUAUAUGGAAGAACACCAGUGGCGAAGGCGGCUGUCUGGUCUGUAACUGACGCUGAGGCUCGAAAGCAUGGGUAGCGAACA